UACGUAGGGUGCGAGCGUUGUCCGGAAUUAUUGGGCGUAAAAGAGCUUGUAGGCGGUUUGUCGCGUCUGCUGUGAAAAUCCGGGGCUCAACCCCGGACUUGCAGUGGGUACGGGCAGACUAGAGUGUGGUAGGGGAGACUGGAAUUCCUGGUGUAGCGGUGAAAUGCGCAGAUAUCAGGAGGAACACCGAUGGCGAAGGCAGGUCUCUGGGCCACUACUGACGCUGAGAAGCGAAAGCUGGGGAGCGAACAGG
rnacentral:rRNA from 1 species